rnacentral:ncRNA from 17 species
UUCUUAUCCAGAGAGGUAGAGGGACUGGCCCUAUGACACCUCGGCAGCGGACUGAUGAACCGUGCCAAUUCCAGCAGGCAGAUUGCCUGAAAGAUAAGAA